GGCAAGAUGGCCGAGUGGUCUAAGGCGCUCGUUUCAGGACUUGCACUGUAUCAGUGUGGAUUUACGAGUCUUCGGGCGUGGGUUCGAAUCCCACUCUUGUCA